AUGCUUCAAGCGGCGGCUGCCGGCAAUUGUUCUCAAACUCGAUUUCCACAAGGCCUUGAUUCAGUAUCUUGGAUAGCCCUUGCCAAGAUCCUACGUGCCAAAGGGUUCCCGCCAAUUUGGUGUCGCUGGGUUCAAAGUUUGAACACAUCUGCCAGCUCUGCUGUUUUAUUAAAUGGUAAGCUUGGACCUUGGUUUCAGUGCCACCAAGGACUGAGGCAAGGAGACUCCCUCUCACCCUAUCUCUUCAUCAUUGUGGCUGAUGUCCUUAAACGACUUAUU
rnacentral:rRNA from 1 species